GUGGAAAAAUCUUUUUUUUAAUUUCAGGCCAGGUCUCACUGUCAAGCAAGAGUUUGGCUUGGACCGAAACCCAAUAAUACCAAACUAUUGGGAGCUGAUCAUUGCUCUCGUGGUCCAGGAUACUGGUGUCAAAGUGAGGAAACGGCAAAUGAAUGUGGAUUUGGGGCUAAAUCUCACUGUCAGACAAAGGUUUGGCUUAGCACAAAAC